GACGGGGCCCGCACAAGCGGUGGAGCAUGUGGUUUAAUUCGAUGCAACGCGAAGAACCUUUACCUGGUCUUGACAUCCACGGAAGUUUUCAGAGAUAAGAUGUGCCUUCGGGAACCGUGAGACAGGUGCUGCAUGGCUGUCGUCAGCUCGUGUUGUGAAAUGUUGGGUUAAGUCCCGCAACGAGCGCAACCCUUAUCCUUUGUUGCCAGCGGUCCGGCCGGGAACUCAAAGGAGACUGCCAGUGAUAAACUGGAGGAAGGUGGGAUGACGUCAAGUCAUCAUGGCCCUUACGACCAGGGCUACACACGUGCUACAAUGGCGCAUACAAAGAGAAGCGACCUCGCGAGAGCAAGCGGACCUCAUAAAGUGCGUCGUAGUCCGGAUUGGAGUCUGCAACUCGACUCCAUGAAGUCGGAAUCGCUAGUAAUCGUGGAUCAGAAUGCCACGGUGAAUACGUUCCCGGGUCUU
rnacentral:rRNA from 1 species